AACGGCCGCAGUACUUUGACUGUGCUAAGGUAGCAAAAUAAAUUGGCUUUUAAUUGGGGUCGAGUAUGAAUGGCAUAAUGGGUGAGGUCUGUCUCUUGUAAUUAUGUAAAAAAUUAAUAAGUAGGUGAAAAUGCCUACGAAUGAGAACAUUAGACGAGAAGACCCUUAGAGUUUUAAUUAUAACGCUAAGAAUCAGUUCAAUAUUUUUGUUGGGGCGACAUAGUAGCAAAAUAAAAUUUAAACCUACAUAUACUUUUUUAAGUUGAUUUUUUUACUAGACUUUUAUUGCAGAAUGAACAUAACUACCUAAGGGAUAACAGCAUAAUUUUUUUUUAAGAUUGUGACCUCGAUGUUGGACUAGGGACUAUGUUUGUUAGCCACAUA
rnacentral:rRNA from 1 species